AUUGAACGCUGGCGGCAGGCCUAACACAUGCAAGUCGAACGAGUGGCGGACGGGUGGGUACUGUCUGGGAAACUGCCUGAUGGAGGGGGAUACCUACUGGCAACGGUAACUAAUAACGCAUACCAUAAGAUGUGCCCAGAUGGGAGUUGCUAGUUGGUGGGGUAACGGCUCACCAAGGCGACCAUCCCUAGCUGGUUUGAGAGGAUGACCAGCCACACUGGAACUGAGACACGACCCAGACUCCUACGGGAGGCAGCAGUGGGGAAUAUUGCACAAUGGGCGCAAUCCUGAUGCAGCCAUGCCGCGUGUAUGAAGAAGGCCUUCGGGUUGUAAAGUACUUUCAGCGGGGAUGCGUUACCCGCAGAAGAAGCACCGGCUAACUCCGUGCCAGCAGCCGCGGUAAUAC
rnacentral:rRNA from 1 species